rnacentral:rRNA from 1 species
UAGGGAAUCUUCGGCAAUGGGGGCAACCCUGACCGAGCAACGCCGCGUGAGUGAAGAAGGUUUUCGGAUCGUAAAGCUCUGUUGUAAGUCAAGAACGGGUGUGAGAGUGGAAAGUUCACACUGUGACGGUAGCUUACCAGAAAGGGACGGCUAACUACGUGCCAGCAGCCGCGGUAAUACGUAGGUCCCGAGCGUUGUCCGGAUUUAUUGGGCGUAAAGCGAGCGCAGGCGGUUUGAUAAGUCUGAAGUUAAAGGCUGUGGCUCAACCAUAGUUCGCUUUGGAAACUGUCAAACUUGAGUGCAGAAGGGGAGAGUGGAAUUCCAUGUGUAGCGGUGAAAUGCGUAGAUAUAUGGAGGAACACCGGUGGCGAAAGCGGCUCUCUGGUCUGUAACUGACGCUGAGGCUCGAAAGCGUGGGGAGCGAACAGGAUUAGAUACCCUGGUAGUCCACGCCGUAAACGAUGAGUGCUAGGUGUCGGAUCCUUUCCGGGAUUCAGUGCCGCAGCUAACGCAUUAAGCACUCCGCCUGGGGAGUACGACCGCAAGGUUGAAAC